rnacentral:sRNA from 1 species
GCCAGGUGCAGUGGAGCACACCUGUAAACCCAGCUACUUGGGAGGCUGAGGCAGGAGGAUUGAAGUUCAAGGCCAGCCUAGGCCACUCAGGGAGACCCUGUCUCAA